CCUACGGGGGGCAGCAGUGGGGAAUAUUGCGCAAUGGGCGAAAGCCUGACGCAGCGACGCCGCGUGAGGGAUGAAGGUCUUCGGAUCGUAAACCUCUGUCAGCAGGGAAGAACGGUCACUGUGCUAAUCAGCAGUGAAUUGACGGUACCUGCAAAGGAAGCACCGGCUAACUCCGUGCCAGCAGCCGCGGUAAUACGGAGGGUGCGAGCGUUAAUCGGAAUUACUGGGCGUAAAGCGCUCGUAGGCGGUAUGUCAAGUCAAGGGGGAAAUCCCCGCGCUCAACGUGGGAACUGCCUUUGAAACUGGCAAACUGGAGUGUGUGAGAGGAUAGUGGAAUUCCAGGUGUAGGAGUGAAAUCCGUAGAUAUCUGGAGGAACAUCAGUGGCGAAGGCGACUAUCUGGCACAUAACUGACGCUGAGGAGCGAAAGCGUGGGUAGCAAACAGGAUUAGAUACCCCGAUAGUC
rnacentral:rRNA from 1 species